AUUGAACGCUGGCGGCAGGCCUAACACAUGCAAGUCGAGCGGAUGAAGGGAGCUUGCUCCUGGAUUCAGCGGCGGACGGGUGAGCAAUGCCUAGGAAUCUGCCUGGUAGUGGGGGAUAACGUCCGGAAACGGGCGCUAAUACCGCAUACGUCCUGAGGGAGAAAGUGGGGGAUCUUCGGACCUCACGCUAUCAGAUGAGCCUAGGUCGGAUUAGCUAGUUGGUGGGGUAAAGGCCUACCAAGGCGACGAUCCGUAACUGGUCUGAGAGGAUGAUCAGUCACACUGGAACUGAGACACGGUCCAGACUCCUACGGGAGGCAGCAGUGGGGAAUAUUGGGCAAUGGGCGAAAGCCUGAUCCAGCCAUGCCGCGUGUGUGAAGAAGGUCUUCGGAUUGUAAAGCACUUUAAGUUGGGAGGAAGGGCAGUAAGUUAAUACCUUGCUGUUUUGACGUUACCAACAGAAUAAGCACCGGCUAACUUCGUG
rnacentral:rRNA from 1 species